rnacentral:rRNA from 1 species
GCAAGUCGAGCGGACUUGAUGGAGUGCUUGCACUCCUGAGAGUUAGCGGCGGACGGGUGCGUAACACGUAUGCAACCUACCUAUAACUGGGGGAUAGCCCGAAGAAAUUCGGAUUAAUACCCUAUAACAUUUAGUCAUCGCAUGAUGAUUAUCUUAAAACUCCGGUGGUUAUAGAUGGGCAUGCGGCCUAUUAGUUUGUUGGUGAGGUAAUGGCUCACCAAGACUACGAUAGGUAGGGGGUCUGAGAGGAUGAUC